AAUAGAAUAAUGAUCAAUGGAAAAAAGAGAAAAAUCC
rnacentral:tRNA from 2 species